rnacentral:lncRNA from 1 species
GCAAAGGGUCUUAAGUGAAGGUAUCACUCAUAUCAACAUAAUUUGUAACACUCCCUGAUGGUCUAGUGGUUAGGAUUUGGCGCUGUCAACAUAAUUGGUUAAAACACAUGUAACAGUAUAAAAGCAAGGCAUUUACUCAAGUAGCUGACAUGCUAACCUAAGCUUGAUAGAAUUAAAACUGAACUUUUACAAAUUCAAUCCAAUUUUACCUAAGUUGAGAUGAUUAUCUUAAGUAAUAGGAACAAAUACAUGUUGCUUUUUGGAAAUUAAAAAUAUGUAAUACUAGGAGUUCCCAGGCUAGGGGUUGAAUCUGAGCUGUAGCCUCUGGGCUUUGCCAUAGCCACAGCAACAUCAAAUCCAAGCCAUGUCUGUGAGCUGCAUGGCUACACCAUAGCUCAGGGCCGCGCUGGAUCCUUAACCCACUGAGCAAGUCCAGGGAUCAAACCUGCAUCCUCAUGGAUGCUAGCCAGAUUCCUUUCCACUGAGCCUCAAUGGGAACUCCAUAUUGCCUCUUUUUAUGCUAUGUAUCUUUUUAACAUAUUCCUUGUAUCCUGCUUUAUUUUUAAAAUAUAAAAAUAUAGAUAUUUUAUGUUUUUCAUGGUCUUCAUAAAUAUUUUUGUAGCUGCAUAACAUAUCAGCAAGGGUAGAUUUUAUAUACAAAUUUCCCCAUUGUGGACAUAUAAAUUGUUUCAAAUAUUUUUAGGAUUGUAAAUAAUGCUCAGAUGGAUCAUUUUUCAGUAAAGAUAUCUCCCAAAAGGAAAUAUGCUGCUCUCUAGAUAUAUUUUUAUUAUCUUUUUCUUGUUUAUAUUGAUCUGUAUCAAAAGUUUAAUAUUUUUUACAUUCCUGAAUUAUAUUGCAAAUGUGUUUUCCAAAAUGGUUUGCCAAUUUACAUUUCUGUAUGUAGCAUUCAGUGUCCUCAUUGAACUGAAUCCCUGAGAGCAUUAAAAUUCUAGCAGUAUUAAAAUGUUUUUUCAACCAUUACUAGUUUUGCAAACAAAAAAUAGAAUCUUACUUUACUUUUAAUUAACAUUCCUUUUAGCAAGCAUUUUAAUGUUUUUUAGACAAUAUUUUUUUUUGAGUUGCUUAUUGCUGUUCUGAGAUGAGUUGUAUCCUAAAUUCCUGCGUUGAAGUCCUCACCCCUUAUACCUCAAAAUGUGACUGUAUUUGGAGAUAAGGACUUUAAAGAGAUAGUAAGGGAAAAUGAGGUCAUAUGGGUGGGUCCUAAUUCAAUAUGACUAGUAUCCUUAUACAAAGAGAUUAGGACACAGGAAGCACGAAGACCAAGAGAGAACCAUGUAGGACACAGAAAGAAAGCAUCCAUCUUUACGCAGAGGAGAGAGAUCCCAGAAGAAACCCAACCUGCCAGCAGCUAGAUCUCAGACUUCUGGCUUCUAGAACUGUGAGAUAAUAAAUUUCUGUUCCUUAAACCAUUCAGCCUGUAGUAUUUUGUUAUAGCACCUCUAGCAAAAUAAAACAGUGUUUCUUGCCAAUUUAUUUAUUAGGGUCUUAGAGCGUUUCUUCUUCAUUUGUACAGACUCUUUAAAAAAACUUUUUUUGGAGUAUAGUUAACUUACAAUGUUGUAUUAGUUUCACGUGUACAGCAAAGUCAACCAGUUUAUAUAUAGAGAGAGAGAAAGAGAGAGAGAGGGAGAGAGAAUCUAUUUAUCUAGAGAUCAUAUGAAUUAAUAUACAUAAAUUCAUUCUUUUAUCUGUAUAGCUUAUUACAAGCUAUAGAGUAGAUUUCCCUGUGCUUUGCAGUAGAUUCUUAUUGAGUGAAAUAAAUCAGACGGAGAAGGAUAAAUAUUGUAUGAUAUUGCUUAUAUGUAGAAUCUAAUAAAAAUUAUACAAAAUAACUUAUAAAACAAAACAAACUCACACAUUUCAAAACCAAUCUUAUGGUGACCAUAGGGAAAAUAGAAACAAACUUACAGCUUUCAAAACCACUCCUACGGUUACCAUAGGGGAAACCAUUGGGGGUGGGGGAGGGGAUUAGGAGAGUGGGAAUAACACAUACAAGCUCUUUUUAUGUUAAACAUAUUUAUGUAUUUAUUGUUUCCUUUUUGCACUUCUUACAAAGUGAUUCUUUGGUUUUUCCAUGUUUUCCUCUUUUUUUAGCUUACAACAUGUGUGUAUUUAAUUUUUUCCCAUAAUUAUUCAUCUUUUCUAUAUGCUUUUCUUCCUGGUACUUCAAAGCCUGAAAAGUCUUUUUCCUUUAAGUGAUUUUAUACACUGUCAGUUCUAGUUUUUGUUAGUUUUUCUGUGACUUGAAGUUGACCUGUAUAAUAUAACUAUUUUCCAUGUUUGAGAAUGCAGACUUACAAAAGUUGGUGAAUUUCAAAUGUACAGAGCAAAGCUUUCUUUAAGAUUUUUAUGUCAUGCCCAGAACCCAGUCUUCUUUAUUUGAAAUGACCUAUUUAAGAUAACAGUUAUUUUCAGUGGCUUUUACUUCAUUUUGAAAACCUGCAUUGUAAAAUGGAACAAUAACCUCAUUUUUUAAAUCUUCAAUUUUGUUAAGAUCAACUGUUAUAAAGACAAAGAACCUCAAGACAAAGAAUGGCUACAGUUCUCUGAAAUCUGUUCAGUGUCUGAAGUUCUACUGAAAUCUUUCAAGUUAAGGACAUGAUGUCUUGUAAGAUGAAAAAAAAUAUUUCCUCCUGCUUUUUCUUGUUUUCAUUUGUGAUUCUGGUGCUAAGAAAAAAUUUAUUCUUUUAUGGAUUGUUUUUUCCAAAGUUUCUGCUUCUUUCUUUUUUUUCCUGUGAAGAUCUUUCUAGAACUUGUUUAGAAAUAUUCAUUUUAUUUCUUUGUUUUUGCUCUCAGGCCCCAUUAAAAAGGCCAUCUCUUCAAGACACUGAUAGUUCUUUUGUUGGUGGUGUUCAUUUCAAAAUAUAAAACUGUCUUGACUUGUGAGCUAAAAUUAUCUGACAAUUAUGGAAUUUAUCCUGAGUUGAACUGUCUUAUGUUAGUGCAGAAUAGUAAAAAAAAAAAAAAAAAAAAAA